rnacentral:rRNA from 1 species
GACGAACGCUGGCGGCGUGCUUAACACAUGCAAGUCGAACGGUGAAGCGCUUGCCUUUUUGGUGGGUGUGGAUGAGUGGCGAACGGGUGAGUAACACGUGAGUAACCUGCCCUCUUCUUCUGGAUAACCUCAUGAAAGUGGGGCUAAUACGGGGUAUUCCGGGUCUGUCGCAUGGCGGGUUUGGGAAAGAUUGCGCCUUUGGGUGUUUUCGGUGGGGGAUGGGCUCGCGGCCUAUCAGCUUGUUGGUGGGGUGAUGGCCUACCAAGGCGGUGACGGGUAGCCGGCCUGAGAGGGUGGACGGCCACACUGGGACUGAGACACGGCCCAGACGCCUGCGGGAGGCAGCAGUGGGGAAUAUUGCACAAUGGGCGAAGCCUGAUGCAGCGACGCCGCGUGAGGGAUGGAGGCCUUCGGGUUGUGAACCUCUUUCGCCAGGGAAGCAGGCCUGCUCCUGUGUGGGUGGGUUGACGGUAGCUGGAUAAGAAGCGCCGGCUAACUACGUG